rnacentral:lncRNA from 1 species
CCCAAAAUCCAUAUAAAAGUACCAAUAUUCAUUUCUUUUAGAACUGGUUUCUCGACAUAAACAAUCAUUCUUUGCAAAGAUAGUUGGAGCUAUCCACCAACCGCCGAACAACUUAAAUUCAAAUUAAUGGUUACCUUGUAACCCAAAACACACAAUUCACACUCCUCUUAAAAACAUCCUCAAUCAAGCAUAUAUAACAAUAUUAUUGUAAUAAAACUCAACCAUGAAAAACAUGUUGAAAACAACAUAGGCAUACCUGUAUAUCACCAGCAUAAUAGCAACUUCAAUCUCACAAAAGACCAGCGAUAUCAAUCACAUUAAUAAAACAAUAUCAAAAUUUAGAAAUGAAUUAUAUCAGGCAUUAAGUCCUAAACAACUUACCACAUCACCGUAAAGGAUUAGGGAGGGUGAAAUUAUUUUAUCUGCACUUCAAAGACAUUAACAUAUAUCAAAGAUAUUUGAACCCAUACCCUUCCUAUAUGUGCAAGUGUGUCAAAUUUAUCUUCAAAUUGCCAAGAAUCUAAAGCCUAUGCUUUGAUACCAACUGUAACACCCCGGGGUCCACAAACACCCCAGAAUGCUACUAAACUACACAUCUAACAUUCGUAUAUAAAAUUUCGACAACAUCUCCUUUGAAAAUUGCAUAAACGGGGAAGCAACAAAGUAUAAAUAGGUAUCAUGAUAAGAAAACAUAAUAGACAUUAAUAGUUUGCUAGCAAUGGGAAGACAACCAUAACGGCAUGAGCUAAAUUAACCAGUGCGCACAACUAGUUAGAAACAAACAUCCUUUGACAAGAAGCUUCUAAUUAAAUCAUGACUGCGCCUAAGCAGCGUUAUUAUAAGAGUGAAGGUGGAUGUGCUGCUACUUCCCACUUCCCUUGAUGAGCAACAAGCACCUGCAUUGAGUAAUGCAAGAGUGAAAUGAAACAUCUCAGCAAGCGAAUUAUUUUGACGAGAUAUUUAAACCACAAAUUGAAUUCAUCAACAUUUUAAAAGAGUCACAAUUAAAAUCAGAAAUACUUGUAGAUAUAGAACUCAGUAGUCCCACUAUAACCAAUACCAUCUCAUUUCCUCGAACAACCACAAUAGGUUCUAUAACACUUCCCUGCGUCAACAAUAAUACCUGCAAAUAUCACUUCAAUGUAUGCAUAGGAAUGCAAUGUGUAGGUACUCUAUCUUCAUACCUCUGGGGGUAUAAAACCACAUCAUCUGCAAAUAUCACUUCAAUGAAUGCAUAUGAAUGCAAUGCAUAUGUCCUCUGCCUUCAUACCUCUAAGGGUAUGAAGCCGCAUCGUACCCCUCCUCGGGCAACGUACGAUGCUAAAUUGUACCGGUACGGUCGGACCAUAGGUCACGACAAAACUUCAGAUGCAAAUGAGUCAUGCAAUGUAUAUGGCAUGCUGCAUUUAUCAAUAAACUUCACUUCCUUCAGAUACAAUACAAACCUCAAAUAAUACUUCAUUUACCUUCAGAUACAAUACCAACCUCAAAUAAUACUUCAUUUACCUUCAGGGGUGUGAAUUAAUCUCAUGAGUCAUACUCGAAUCAUAAUCAUCAUCAAUAUAUGAUUGAUCAUCAGUAUAAUGCAAGCAAGUAAAUCAUCACCAUAGAGUCCAAUUAUGAAAGAAUCCAAUAGUUCUGAAUAUUAGAGUGUAGGCAAUAGAAAUAACAGGUCAGAACGGAAGCAACCACCGCUACAUUCACUUGCCUUCAUCGAAGAAGAAGAAAAUGUACUAGACAUGAUCUGGAGUGUAGCCACCUGCUAGCGGGCAUAAAACUUAGUACAAAUAUUUCACAAACAUUUGACAUCAAUCAACAAAACACUCCUACACUUGAAACCAAGACCCAGUGGAAAGACUCCCACCCUGAACCACAUGCCAUACAGCAGCAACGCUGUUUGUUAAUUUUGCAUCUUUAAAAUUAAAAUAGCGGUGAUAUCAAACAAAUACUCUAGGAGUAUCUACACAAAAUACUCUACAACUUCAGUAUUCAAUAGAUAAUUAAAUUCUGCCAUCUACAAGUUCUAAAACAUCUGACAAGAUAACUGACUGAAUCUGUUUUAGACAGCAGUAUGGUUAACUUUAAAAUUCGAUAUCUCCCAAACUACUGAACCAAAAAUUAUGAAAUUCUGCUGGAAGUAAGAAAUUUUAUCCCUCUACAAAAGUCUCCAUAGUUGGAAGAGCCAAUUCGCCCAUUUACUAGAUGAAACCCACCAGUGAACAGACCCACUCACUUUUGUCAGGUAAACAGGAACAGCCACAGUAAAACAAACAUAACUGGAGUUUUACAAAUCAUAUGAAUGCACUCUUUAACAAUCUGGAAAGCUUAUGAAAUUAUCUACAACUUCUUUUACCAACUCACAGUUUAAUUCUGUUGAUAAAAUUGCCUAACUCUUAAGAGAACAGAUUCUACACAGAAUUAUGAGACUGAAAAACUGCUAUAAUCAAACUGCCAUAACUUUCUGUUCUGAUGUCCGAUUGAGGUGUUCUUCGCGGCUACGGAAAGAUCUACAAAUUAUCUACGACUCAUAUAUAGAGUUUUUAUUUUUUUGAGGCCACUAAGACCACAGAAAACUGGCACGAACAGAAACUGUUGAAUCUGCCAUUCUGCAGAAAACUAAAUUCGAGAUCAAAACCUAACCCCACAUCAAAUCCAACCUCUAAUCCUUUAAUUCCCAUGAUCCACAACCUCCAAAAGCAUAUAAUUACAGGGAGGAACAAGGAUCUCAUCCAUACCUAGGGUUUCCCCAAGAAAUUCUGCAAGAAGAGAUGGGGAAGAACAUCUCCUUGAUCCUCUCUUCCCCUUCAAUUCAACAUGCUCCUCCUCUUCUCGAUCCUUGCUGCGUGGGGGGGGGGGAAUCUAGAGGGAGGAGGGAGCCAUGGAGAGGGUAGGGGGCGGCUGCCAACAGGGAGGAGAGCAAGAGAGGGAGGGGGCGGCUGCAACCCAAUUGGGGAGAAGGUGAGGGGGCGGCUAGGGUUGGGGAGGAGAGGGGGGCUCCCAUCCACCGG